AUGGCUAAAAAGAUGGGUGAUUUUGAGAUCUGGAAAGCAAGAGAUGUCAAUACUUCUAUUCUAGUGAGGACUCAAAGGUUGAAGCAAGCAAAAGAUGAGGCUGAGAAAGAGGCAGCUCAAUAUAGAACUCACAUGGAAGAAGAAUAUCAAAAGUCAAUUUCAGAGACAACUGGGAAUUCAGGAACAAAUGUAAAAAGGCUUGAUCAAGAGACAGAUGCUAAGAUUAAAACCUUAAAGAAAUCAGGUUCAAAGGUUUCAAAUGAAGUUGUUGAUAUGCUACUCAAGCAUGUUACAAAUAUUAAAAUGUAA